UUUUACUCUGAGAGGAUCAAAGAAUUUUACUUCUAACAGCCAAAGAUCCACGUUUCCUCUGUUGAAGUGCAACCCAAAAGGGGAAAAAAUCAGAUGAAUUAUUGAUCUGAAUUGUGAUUUGAACUUUUGUGAUUUGAUAGUCAUUUGAGGAUUUGCCUCAUAUCAUAGUUUUUCCAACGACUAAGGACAUACAGUAUUUCUACACCACAGAGUCGUCGGCUUCAUACUACCUUAAGAAGCUCCUUCUAAGGAUUCCUGGGAUUUGCAGUUCAGUAAGAAAUGUGCAUCAGAUGGAAUUAAGACCAAAUGAAGCCAAGAGAAAACAACAACGCAUCAUAAUUUUCUGCCAUGCAAGAGACAUACUCUUACAACCUGGCUCUGGCUUACAAAAUCUCCUGAAAAUAUAAAGACUAUGGUUAAGACCCUACUACCUUAGUUGCUACAAGAACUAAGAGUAUCGUCUUACUAAAUGUGCUGGAAUCAUUUAGACCUCUCCCCUUCCCUCAAUACAUUGGAGCAACAGUAAAACUGAACAAAAGAAGACACUGGGUCCAAACUACCAACCCAGAAAAAAAGAAAACCAGCAUGCUAAGGCUGCAACGCUAAGAACUCAUACCUGAAAGUAAUCUUGACUGAACUUAAGUCCUAGUUCUAACUAGGAAACUGCCCCUCAAGUGAAAAGGAUCUUUAAAUACAAAGAGAGACAUAGAAUCUUUCUGUUUGACCUGCAUUUCCAUUGGGCCUGAUCCUCUCUCUCUUAGACCUGCUCUUCUCUCUAAGACCACAUCUUCUUUCUGAGGCCUGCACCAGCCUCCAGUCAUCUUCUUCACAUUGGAGAAUGAGAAAAUCUUUGUACGUGUUUUAGCUUGUAGAAUCUUAACUACUACGUUACAUAUCAUUAAAUUCAAAGUUGGGAUUGUCCAUGCCAUUGUAUUUUCCAUUUCUGUGUAUGGCUGUGAAAGUCUGACAAUAAAGA